rnacentral:rRNA from 1 species
UACGUAGGGUGCGAGCGUUGUCCGGAUUUACUGGGCGUAAAGCGCGCGUAGGCGGACCGAUCAGUCCGGUCUGAAAGCCCCCGGCUCAACCGGGGAGGGUGGCUGGAAACUGUCGUUCUUGAGGGCGAGAGAGGAGGGUGGAAUUCCUGGUGUAGCGGUGAAAUGCGUAGAGAUCAGGGGGAACACCCGUGGCGAAGGCGGCCCUCUGGCUCGACCCUGACGCUGAGGCGCGAAAGCGUGGGGAGCGAACGGG